rnacentral:tRNA from 1 species
CGCCUCGUAGUUCAGAUGGUAGAACGUGCACUGUACAAAAGCGUAGGAGGCGUCCAUACAUGGGUUCGAAUCCCAUCGAGGCUG